UACGUAGGGUGCGAGCGUUAAUCGGAAUUACUGGGCGUAAAGCGCACGUAGGCGGCUUUCUAAGUCGGGGGUGAAAUCCUGGAGCUCAACUCCAGAACUGCCUUCGAUACUGGAAAGCUCGAGUCCGGGAGAGGUGAGUGGAACUGCGAGUGUAGAGGUGAAAUUCGUAGAUAUUCGCAAGAACACCAGUGGCGAAGGCGGCUCACUGGCCCGGUACUGACGCUGAGGUGCGAAAGCGUGGGGAGCAAACGGG
rnacentral:rRNA from 1 species